UGGGGAAUAUUGGACAAUGGGGGGAACCCUGAUCCAGCGAUGCCGCGUGUGCGAAGAAGGCCUGCGGGUUGUAAAGCACUUUGGUUGGGGAAGAAGGCUGGUUGAUGAAUAAUUGAUCAGAUUGACGUUACCCAAAGAACAAGCACCGGCUAACUCUGUGCCAGCAGCCGCGGUAAUACAGAGGGUGCGAGCGUUAAUCGGAAUUACUGGGCGUAAAGGGUGCGUAGGCGGUUGAUUAAGUUAGAUGUGAAAUCCCCGGGCUUAACCUGGGAAUUGCAUUUAAGACUGGUUGGCUAGAGUAGAGUAGAGGGAAGUGGAAUUUCCGGUGUAGCGGUGAAAUGCGUAGAUAUCGGAAAGAACAUCAGUGGCGAAGGCGGCUUCCUGGACUCAUACUGACGCUGAGGCACGAAAGCAUGGGGAGCAAACAG
rnacentral:rRNA from 1 species